UUUUUUUCUCUCCAUUCAGAUUGUCACCAUCCUAAUCCAGACCCUUAUGACCCCCUGCCCCAUCACCACAUGAGAAUCUCUGUGUUCUAAGUUACCCCAGUCUCCCUGCACUACCUAACCAGUGCCACUUGACACACUUUCUCCUUUUCUUUGUGUGCACCAGUGCCUUCAGUGGCUGGCCAGUACCAGUGGGUUGUGUGCAACCCACUGUGCUGUGCAUGACUAAACUUUUCAACUUAAUUUUCAUUUCCUUCCAAUAGGUAUUUAUUGAGUACCUGCAGUGUACUCUAUAUCCUCCUUAGCUCCAAGGGAACGAAUAAGCCAGACCUAUUUCCUUUUUCUGUCUUUCAGAGAAGGGGGUUGAUAUUUAAGAUAAAUGCUCAGAAAGAGAUGCUGUGAAAGCAUGUAUGGGGGAGACAAAGCUAGUCUCUGGGGUCGUGAGAUGCCUCCUUGGCAGUGACAGUUAAGCUGAGGCCUCAAGCUGGAAUAAUGACUAAUUAGUGAGGUGUAGGUGAGGGGGCAGGAUAUGCAAAGGGCCUGAUGUGGGGAACAUUCUGAUGCAUCUGUGGGAAGAAGGAAGGCUGGUGUGGCUGGAUGUAAGAGAUGCGGGGAAGCACAGUGGGGGAGAAAGGUCAAAGGUCACCAGGGCCCAGACCAUGCAGAGCCUUGGAGGAUGCAUUGAGGAAUCUGGGCUUUAUUAGAGGCAAUGGGAAAUCAAAGGCAUGUGUGAAGCAGAGGAAUGUAACCAUUUAUUGUGUUUUUUUUUUUUUUUUGUAUUUUUUGCUUUUUCUAGGGCCGCUCCUGUGGCAUAUGGAGGUUUAACAUCAGGAAACAAAAUUUCUUAUUUUUGGAAAAGGCUUAGAGACAGUCAUAAGUCUAAUAUAAUCAGGGCAGGAUUCUCCAGCUGGCAAGUUGAGCUGUGAAUCCAGAAAUAAUCUACACAGGUGACUACUGUUUUAAUGACUUCUGGUUAUUGUUUUGAUUUUCUCAGCCACACUGUUAUAUAGUGCCAGCCUGCCAUACUAUAAAUACAUUUGCUUAUGCAUUAGAGAAAAUCCUUCCAGAAUACUUAGCACCGUGAAAGCAGAGCUAAGAAUGUUAGGAAGGAGCUCUGUGAUUAUGAAGUUGUUGCUUGAUUUUGAAUCACUCACAGACAUCUACACAGUAACCACUCUGUGCUGGGGGCUGGGGAUCCAAUGUGGAUUAGAGAGAGACCCUCCCCGUAAAAUACACACAGUCCCUCCUCUAUCACAAAUGCCCUUGUUGGAGUUCCCCUUGUGGCUCAGCAGGUUAAGAAGGCAACUAGGAUCCAUGAGGAUGUGGGUUUGACCCCCUGGCCUUGCUCAGUGGGUUAAGGAUCUGGGGUUGCCAUGAGCUGCUGCAUAGGUUGCAGAUGUGGCUUGGAUCCUGCAUUGCUCUGGCUGUGGCAUAGGUCUGUGGCUGCAGCUCUGAUAUGACCCCUCAUCCAAUAACUUCCAUAUGCUGCAAUUGAGGGCCCCCCUCCAAAAAAAAAGCCCUUGGAAAGCAGAGACUAGAAUCCAAUGCAAUUUGUAUCAUUGGGAGCACGGAAAGGGGAAGCCUAGCUCUGUUUGCAACAUCAAGAGAAGGCAUAUUUAAGAAAGUGUUCACAGCGACUGAGUCUCCAUGAAGGAACAGUACCUCCCUAAUGGAGGAGGCAGAGGAGAGCAAGGCGGAGCAGCCAAGACCCGGCAGAACAGAGACUUGGAGAAUGCCGGUUUGGAAGACUCCUUG
rnacentral:lncRNA from 1 species